rnacentral:lncRNA from 1 species
AGACCGCCAUGGUGACUUGCAAGCAACUCACUGUACUUAGGCACUGGACUACCUAAAUUUUUAAUUCAGUGACGGAAGGCUGCUGGGUGUAGUCAAGUACUUGAUUUGUCGGUGCGUGUGUCAAGAUGGGAUUGACCACUCCAGUUUAGGAGCUGUGUACAGUCAUGUUUUAAUUUAGCAAACUCUUGGCCAGGAUAGUCCUUGUGAGGAGUCACAGGACUGUUUGAAUUGAGCACGAUUCGGAUGAUCUGAUCAGGGUUGACAGUUUAACCCUGAGUCAUCCUAAACACAGGGGUCAAAAGGAUGAAUUAUACAGUAACCAUAUUCAUGUAGGUUCUGAGUGUUACGAUUGUGACUCUUCGACCUAUCCGAACGUCGGGUACCAUUGCUAGAUGGUCACUUCGAUUAGUACUGGAAUUGGUUCCUGUGCUACCGGCUUAAGUUCGAACCUGCGGGGUCACACACAUUAGAGGUUCCUAUCUGAUCUGAUGGCUAAUGUAGAAUCCUACAUGUUUGAGACUCAGUGAUCGAGAAUCAAGAUUCUCUAAUCAUGAGUUUCACACAUUAUGGGUACCAGGGUCAAGAGUCCCACUGGUUGGGAUUUUUCGAUCAGGGUUACAUAUCGAUGAAUUCUGAUGCCUGAUUGUCCAUCGAAUUUGGACUCAGUAUUUAUGAGAGAUUUAAUUAAUGAUUUGAUCGCUAAUUAACUCAAUUUAAUUGAGUAAU